GCGCCCCGCAAGGGGAGCGGCAGACGGGUGAGUAACGCGUGGGAAUCUACCUUUUGUUACGGAAUAACUCAGGGAAACUUGUGCUAAUACCGUAUGUGCCCUUCGGGGGAAAGAUUUAUCGGCAAAGGAUGAGCCCGCGUUGGAUUAGCUAGUUGGUGAGGUAAAGGCUCACCAAGGCGACGAUCCAUAGCUGGUCUGAGAGGAUGAUCAGCCACACUGGGACUGAGACACGGCCCAGACUCCUACGGGAGGCAGCAGUGGGGAAUAUUGGACAAUGGGCGCAAGCCUGAUCCAGCCAUGCCGCGUGAGUGAUGAAGGCCCUAGGGUUGUAAAGCUCUUUCAACGGUGAAGAUAAUGACGGUAACCGUAGAAGAAGCCCCGGCUAACUUCGUGCCAGCAGCCGCGGUAAUACGAAGGGGGCUAGCGUUGUUCGGAAUUACUGGGCGUAAAGCGCACGUAGGCGGAUCGAUCAGUUAGGGGUGAAAUCCCAGGGCUCAACCCUGGAACUGCCUCUAAUACUGUCGAUCUCGAGUUCGAGAGAGGUGAGUGGAAUUCCGAGUGUAGAGGUGAAAUUCGUAGAUAUUCGGAGGAACACCAGUGGCGAAGGCGGCUCACUG
rnacentral:rRNA from 1 species